CUAAAAUGUUGUGAGUUGAGUACUAAAAUAAAAAGACUUCGGAAAAUCGAGUUUCAUAUAUUGAUAAUGACAUGUGGUUUGCAAGAUAAAAAUGUCGCUUUUUACUCUGCUUGUGACGUAUGCAUAUUGAAUGCAUAUCCAAGAUGGCGGAAUGCAUGCUGCUUUUGAUCAAAAUAAGUCGAUUUAUUUCGAAAACCAAGCAAGAUACGGAAUAAAUGUAAAUG